AUUGAACGCUGGCGGCAGGCCUAACACAUGCAAGUCGAGCGAGCGGCGGACGGGUGAGUAAUGUAUGGGGACUGCCCGAUCGAGGGGGAUAACUACUGGAAACGGUGGCUAAUACCGCAUACUAUCGGAUAACCCAUAUGGUAUUCGAUAGUAGGUGGGGUAAAGGCUCACCUAGGCGACGAUCUCUAGCUGGUCUUAGAGGAUGAACAGCGACACGGUAAUGAAUACACGUCCCAGACUCCGACGGAGGCAGAAGUGGGGAAUAGUGCACAAUGGGCGAAAGCCGGAUGCAGCCAUGCCGCGUGUAUGAAGAAGACCUUAGGGUUGUAAAGUACUUUAAGCGGGGAGGCGUUACCCGCAGAAGAAGCACCGGCUAACUCCGUGCCAGCAGCCGCGGUAAUAC
rnacentral:rRNA from 1 species